UUUUGACCUCGGAUCAGGUAGGGAUACCCGCUGAACUUA
rnacentral:rRNA from 3 species